rnacentral:miRNA from 10 species
UUGGGCAAAAGUAAUUGUGGUUUUUGCUGUUACUUUUAAUGGCAAAUCCCACAAUUACUUUUGUGCCACACUAAUA